GCCGCUUUAGUAUAGUGGUAAUACGCAUCCAUGGUAAGGAUGAACGGGCAGUUCAAUUCUGCCAAGCGGCACCA
rnacentral:tRNA from 1 species